UAUAAUGGGUCAUCGACUUAGUGUAUCUAGCAAGCUUAAGCCGUUAGGUGUAGGCGCAGCGAAAGCGAGUCUUAAUAGGGCGAAUGAGUUAGAUGCAUUAGACCCGAAACCGAGUGAUCUAGGCAUGACCAGGUUGAAGGUACGGUAACACGUACUGGAGGACCGAACCCACAUCUGUUGAAAAAGAUCGGGAUGAGUUGUGCCUAGGGGUGAAAGGCCAAUCAAACUCGGAGAUAGCUGGUUCUCCGCGAAAUCUAUUUAGGUAGAGCGUCAUCCGAAUACCCCGGGGGGUAGAGCACUGGAUGGGUAAUGGGGGCAUACAGCCUUACUGAUCCUAACCAAACUCCGAAUACCCGGGAGUAAUAGAUGGCAGACACACUGCGGGUGCUAACGCCCGUAGUGAAAAGGGAAACAACCCUGACCGACAGUUAAGGCCCCUAAUUCAUGGCUAAGUGGGAAAGCAGGUGGGACGACCAAAACAACCAGGAAGUUGGCUUAGAAGCAGCCAUCUUUUAAAGAUAGCGUAACAGCUCACUGGUCUAAAUAAGUUGUCCUGCGGCGAAGAUGUAACGGGGCUCAAGCCAUGAGCCGAAACUUCGGAUGCAUUUUUAAUGCAUGGUAGCGGAGCGUAGUGUGACAUAGUUCCAUGCGUCCUUAACUUCCUUUUGGGAGUAUUGGACGCAAGGAGCUUUCAGUGAAGCCGGCCUGUGAGGGAUCCGGUGGAGAGAUCACUAGUGAGAAUGAUGACAUGAGUAACGACAAAGGGGGUGAGAGACCCCCUCGCCGAAAAUCCAAGGGUUCCUGCUUAAAGCUAAUCUGAGCAGGGUAAGCCGGCCCCUAAGCCGAGGGCGAAAGCCGUAGGCGAUGGGAACCAGGUUAAUAUUCCUGGGCCAGGAGGAAGUGACGGAUCAUGAAGAUUGUUGGAUCAGGCGUAGUUGCCCCAGCAGUUAAUUGGUUCCUGGAAAUAGCCCUCCAUCAGACCGUACCCUAAACCGACACAGGUGGAUAGGUAGAGUAUACCAAGGCGCUUGAGAGAACUAUGUUGAAGGAACUCGGCAAAAUACCUCCGUAAGUUCGCGAGAAGGAGGCCCGGUUUCUAGGCAACUGGAAGCUGGGGGCACAAACCAGGGGGUGGCGACUGUUUACUAAAAACACAGGGCUCUGCGAAGUCGUAAGACGACGUAUAGGGUCUGACGCCUGCCCGGUGCCUGAAGGUUAAAAGGAGGGGUGAGAGCUCCGAAUUGAAGCCCAGGUAAACGGCGGCCGUAACUAUAACGGUCCUAAGGUAGCGAAAUUCCUUGUCGGGUAAGUUCCGACCUGCACGAAUGGCGUAACGACUUCCCCGCUGUCUCCAACAUAGACUCAGUGAAAUUGAAUUGCCUGUCAAGAUGCAGGCUUCCCGCGGUUAGACGGAAAGACCCCGUGCACCUUUACUACAACUUUACACUGAUAACAGGCACAACAUGUGCAGAAUAGGUGGUAGGCUUUGAAGCGGAGACGCUAGUCUUUGUGGAGCCUCCUUUGAGAUACCACCCUUGUUUUUCUUGUUAUCUAACUGCGGUCCGUUAUCCGGAUCCAGGACCCUGUAUGGUGGGUAGUUUGACUGGGGCGGUCGCCUCCUAAAGCGUAACGGAGGCGCGCGAAGGUUGGCUCAGAGCGGUCGGAAAUCGCUCGUUGAGUGCAAUGGCAGAAGCCAGCCUGACUGCAAGACUGACAAGUCGAGCAGAGUCGAAAGACGGCCAUAGUGAUCCGGUGGUCCCGAGUGGAAGGGCCAUCGCUCAACGGAUAAAAGGUACGCCGGGGAUAACAGGCUGAUGGUGCCCAAGAGUCCAUAUCGACGGCACCGUUUGGCACCUCGAUGUCGGCUCAUCUCAUCCUGGGGCUGGAGCAGGUCCCAAGGGUACGGCUGUUCGCCGUUUAAAGAGGUACGUGAGCUGGGUUUAGAACGUCGUGAGACAGUUCGGUCCCUAUCUGCCGUGGGUGUAGGAUACUUGAGAGGAGUUGCCCCUAGUACGAGAGGACCGGGGUGAACGAUCCACUGGUGGACCAGUUGUCGACUACGGCAGUGCUGGGUAGCUACGAUCGGACAGGAUAACCGCUGAAAGCAUCUAAGCGGGAAGCCCCCCUCAAAACAAGGUAUCCCUGAGGACCGAGGUAGACCACCUCGUCGAUAGGCCAGAGGUGUAAGCGUGGCAACACGUUCAGCUGACUGGUACUAAUGGUCCGAUAGGCUUGAUUUG
rnacentral:rRNA from 1 species